UUUUUUUUUUUUUUUUUUUUUUUUUUUUUUU
rnacentral:ribozyme from 3 species